rnacentral:rRNA from 1 species
UACGUAGGGUGCGAGCGUUGUCCGGAAUUAUUGGGCGUAAAGAGCUUGUAGGCGGUUUGUCGCGUCUGCUGUGAAAUUCCAGGGCUUAACCCUGGGCUUGCAGUGGGUACGGGCAGACUAGAGUGUGGUAGGGGAGACUGGAAUUCCUGGUGUAGCGGUGAAAUGCGCAGAUAUCUGGAAGAACACCAAAGGCGAAGGCAGUGUCCUGGGUGGUCGCUGACGCUGAGAGGCGAAAGCCAGGGGAGCGAACGGG